AUUGAACGCUGGCGGCAGGCUUAACACAUGCAAGUCGAGCGGAGAUGAGGUGCUUGCACCUUAUCUUAGCGGCGGACGGGUGAGUAAUGCUUAGGAAUCUGCCUAUUAGUGGGGGACAACAUUCCGAAAGGAAUGCUAAUACCGCAUACGUCCUACGGGAGAAAGCAGGGGAUCUUCGGACCUUGCGCUAAUAGAUGAGCCUAAGUCGGAUUAGCUAGUGGGUGGGGUAAAGGCCUACCAAGGCGACGAUCUGUAGCGGGUCUGAGAGGAUGAUACGCAGCACUGGGACUGGGCCACGGACCAGACUCCUACGGGGGGCAGCAGUGGGGAAUAUUGGAGAAAGGGGGAAACCCUGAUCCAGCCAUGCCGCGUGUGUGAAGAAGGCCUUAUGGUUGUAAAGCACUUUAAGCGAGGAGGAGGCUACUGAGACUAAUACUCUUGGAUAGUGGACGUUACUCGCAGAAUAAGCACCGGCUAACUCUGUGCCAGCCGCCGCCGUAA
rnacentral:rRNA from 1 species